UAAAUAUGAACACACCUUGAAUUUUUGUGAAAAACAGAGAGAAAAGUUGAAGAAAGUGAAGAGAAAGUUGAGAAGGAAGAUAAUAAAAGGGAAAGAUCCGUUGAGUGUGCUGUACAUAUAGCCAUUUCUGCAGAGACAAACAAACAGUUUUGGGCGAUGGAGAUUACUAGAUAGAAGAGAACACAAGACGAGACAAGACUCGGUUUCUGCAGUCCGGUGGGGACUACUCACCUUUUUUUUUUUUUUUUUAUCCUUCCAAUUAUUAUGCUUUUUAUUUAUUAUUUCUUAUGUCUCAAUGAAACAAUUAUUCCCUAAUAUAUUUUCUAACUUCCCUGA